ensembl:miRNA
UGGCUCUCCGUCUUCUUGGGCAGCAGCACGGCCUGGAUAUUGGGCAGGACGCCGCCCUGCGCGAUGGUCACACGGCCCAGCAGCUUGUUGAGCUCCUCGUCGUUGCGGAUG